AACAAACGCUGGCGGCGUGCCUAAUACAUGCCAGUCGAACGGGGAAAGUAGCAAUAUGAGUACUAGUGGCGCACGGGUGAGUAACGCGUGGAUAAUCUGCCUUGAAGAGGGGGAUAACUAGUCGAAAGAUUAGCUAAUACCGCAUAAGACCACAAGAACUGAGGUUCAAGGGGUCAAAGGUUUUUCGCUUCAAGAUGAGUCCGCGUAAGAUUAGCUAGUUGGUGAGGUAAUGGCUCACCAAGGCAACGAUCUUUAACUGGUCUGAGAGGAUGAUCAGUCACACUGGAACUGAGACACGGUCCAGACUCCUACGGGAGGCAGCAGUAGGGAAUAUUGCACAAUGGAGGAAACUCUGAUGCAGCGACGCCGCGUGAGUGAUGAAGGCCUUCGGGUCGUAAAGCUCUGUCGCAGGGGAAUAACACAAUGAAUGUACCCUGUAAGAAAGGAUCGGCUAACUUCGUG
rnacentral:rRNA from 1 species